AGAGUUUGAUCCUGGCUCAGGAUGAACGCUAGCGGCAGGCUUAACACAUGCAAGUCGAGGGGCAGCGGGGAGGAAGCUUGCUUUCUCCGCCGGCGACCGGCGCACGGGUGAGUAACACGUAUGCAACCUGCCCCUGUCAGGGGGACAACCCGCCGAAAGGCGGGCUAAACCCGCGUACAUGCCACCGGGGCAUCCCGGAGGCAGGAAAGGCUUCGGCCGGACAGGGAUGGGCAUGCGGCGCAUUAGGCAGUAGGCGGGGUAACGGCCCACCUAACCGACGAUGCGUAGGGGUUCUGAGAGGAAGGUCCCCCACACUGGUACUGAGACACGGACCAGACUCCUACGGGAGGCAGCAGUGAGGAAUAUUGGUCAAUGGUCGGGAGACUGAACCAGCCAAGCCGCGUGAGGGAGGAAGGUACAGAGUAUCGUAAACCUCUUUUGUCAGGGAACAAAGGCGGGGACGUGUCCCCGGAUGAGUGUACCUGAAGAAAAAGCAUCGGCUAACUCCGUGCCAGCAGUCGCGGUAAUACGGAGGAUGCGAGCGUUAUCCGGAUUUAUUGGGUUUAAAGGGUGCGCAGGCGGUCUGUUAAGUCAGCGGUCAAAGCCCGGGGCUCAACCCCGGCCCGCCGUUGAAACUGGCAGUCUCGAGUUGGAGAGAAGUAUGCGGAAUGCGCGGUGUAGCGGUGAAAUGCAUAGAUAUCGCGCAGAACUCCGAUUGCGAAGGCAGCAUGCCGGCUCCACACUGACGCUGAGGCACGAAAGCGUGGGUAUCGAACAGGAUUAGAUACCCUGGUAGUCCACGCAGUAAACGAUGAAUGCUGGCUGUCCGGGGGGAUUGACCCCUGGGUGGCGAAGCGAAAGCGAUAAGCAUUCCACCUGGGGAGUACGCCGGCAACGGUGAAACUCAAAGGAAUUGACGGGGGCCCGCACAAGCGGAGGAACAUGUGGUUUAAUUCGAUGAUACGCGAGGAACCUUACCCGGGCUCAAACGGGGAGUGACUCAGGCAGAGACGCCUGUUUCCCACGGGACACUCCCCGAGGUGCUGCAUGGUUGUCGUCAGCUCGUGCCGUGAGGUGUCGGCUUAAGUGCCAUAACGAGCGCAACCCCCGCGUGCAGUUGCUAACAGAUAACGCUGAGGACUCUGCACGGACUGCCGGCGCAAGCCGCGAGGAAGGCGGGGAUGACGUCAAAUCAGCACGGCCCUUACGUCCGGGGCGACACACGUGUUACAAUGGGUGGUACAGCGGGAAGCCAGGCGGCGACGCCGAGCGGAACCCGAAAUCCACUCUCAGUUCGGAUCGGAGUCUGCAACCCGACUCCGUGAAGCUGGAUUCGCUAGUAAUCUCGCAUCAGCCAUGGCGCGGUGAAUACGUUCCCGGGCCUUGCACUCACAGCCCGUCA
rnacentral:rRNA from 1 species